CCUGAAAUACAAUCAGGGGUUUUUUUGGGACAGCUCCCCCCAAGGCAGUGUCCUCUGAACCUUCCUUUAGCCCCAGGAACAGGCCAGCUCAAAACAUUUCUGCACAAAAGGCAGCAAAGAGAUCCCAAACUUCUGUGUUAAUUCCUGACGGGAAACUGAAAUUCAGAGCUGCAGACGUUGAGUUCAGAUCUAAUACUGGGCUGAUGUGGAGCUGAGGGCCCUCCAGUGAGGAGCAGCAGCUCUGCACAGUGACAUGGAUUUACUCCAGCAGCAAUCCCACCCUGGCAGCACAUUCCCAACGUCCUCAGCAGCCUCGUGCUGCCGUGAGCUGACCUUGAAAAUAUUGCUCUGCGUGGCACGGCCGAUGCCCAGGUGGAACAUUGCCUCUCUGGUCACCUCGAAGCAGUCCUCUGAAAAGCCAAACAGUGCUCUUGAAAAAGCCAAGCACACAAACAGGGGCAAGCAGAACAUCUCAGCACAUCCAAUCCAGCUGGAAUUGCCAGUGGAGAGCGGGGAAGAUGGAUGCUGUCUGGGUAAAUCCCAUACACAAGCUGGACAACCAACCCACUGACUUCUUCUGCCUCUGUCAGGUAAAGCAUGUGCAUAGACAAGACAGUUUCUAAACAAAGCCACAGAGAUGCAAAUUUGCCAGGCCAGAACCAGCUGUUUUAAGCCAGAGGGUUCCAAAUGCAAAGCCCGAAGACUUCAGACAGAAUUGCUGAUGCCAGUGGGGCCCAAGGAACACUGGAGCUGGAAAUCCUACCCAGAGUGAUGGUCAUGUUCUGCUGCCCCUGCAAAUAAAGCUUUUUUGGAGGGAAUAAUAUAUCUUCCCUUCCAUCAGGAAUAAAAUGCUUUGCUUCUCUUUAA